rnacentral:rRNA from 1 species
GUGAGGAAUUUUCCGCAAUGGGCGAAAGCCUGACGGAGCAAUGCCGCGUGAAGGAUGAAGGCCUAUGGGUUGUAAACUUCUUUUCUCAGAAAAUAAUUAUGACGGUAUCUGAGGAAUAAGCAUCGGCUAACUCUGUGCCAGCAGCCGCGGUAAGACAGAGGAUGCAAGCGUUAUCCGGAAUGAUUGGGCGUAAAGCGUCUGUAGGUUGUUUAAAAAGUAUUCUGUCAAAGAUUAGGGCUUAACCCUAGAUAGGCAGAAUAAACUUUUAAGCUAGAGUUUGGUAGAGGCAGAGGGAAUUCCCGGUGGAGCGGUGAAAUGCGUAGAUAUCGGGAGGAACAACAAAGGCGAAGGCACUCUGCUGGGCCAAUACUAACACUGAGAGACGAAAGCGAGGGGAGCAAAUGGGAUUAGAAACCCUUGUAGUCC